UACGGAGGGUGCGAGCGUUGUUCGGAAUUACUGGGCGUAAAGCGCGUGUAGGCGGCCUUCUAAGUCUGGUGUGAAAGCCCGGGGCUCAACCCCGGAAGUGCAUUGGAUACUGGGAGGCUGGAGUACCGGAGAGGAGGGUGGAAUUCCUGGUGUAGCGGUGAAAUGCGUAGAUAUCAGGAGGAACACCGGUGGCGAAGGCGGGAUCCUGGGCCAGUACUGACGCUGAGGAGCGAAAGCGUGGGGAGCAAACAGG
rnacentral:rRNA from 1 species